rnacentral:rRNA from 1 species
AGUGAACGCUGGCGGUAGGCCUAACACAUGCAAGUCGAACGGCAGCACAGUAAGAGCUUGCUCUUACGGGUGGCGAGUGGCGGACGGGUGAGGAAUACAUCGGAAUCUACUUUUUCGUGGGGGAUAACGUAGGGAAACUUACGCUAAUACCGCAUACGACCUACGGGUGAAAGCAGGGGAUCUUCGGACCUUGCGCGAUUGAAUGAGCCGAUGUCGGAUUAGCUAGUUGGCGGGGUAAAGGCCCACCAAGGCGACGAUCCGUAGCUGGUCUGAGAGGAUGAUCAGCCACACUGGAACUGAGACACGGUCCAGACUCCUACGGGAGGCAGCAGUGUGGAAUAUUGGACAAUGGGCGCAAGCCUGAUCCAGCCAUACCGCGUGGGUGGAGAAGGCCUUCGGGUUGUAAAGCCCUUUUGUUGGGAAAGAAAAGCAGCAGGUUAAUACCCCGCUGUUCUGACGGUACCCAAAGAAUAAGCACCGACUAACUUCGUG